CCUACGGGUGGCAGCAGUGGGGAAUAUUGCACAAUGGGGGGAACCCUGAUGCAGCGACGCCGCGUGAGUGAAGAAGUCAUUCGGGAUGUAAAGCUCUAUCAGCAGGGAAGAAAAUGACGGUACCUGACUAAGAAGCCCCGGCUAACUACGUGCCAGCAGCCGCGGUAAUACGUAGGGGGCGAGCGUUAUCCGGAUUUACUGGGUGUAAAGGGAGCGUAGACGGCAGGGCAAGUCCGAAGUGAAAGCCCGGGGCUUAACCCCGGGACUGCUUUGGAAACUGUGCAGCUGGAGUGCGGGAGGGGCAGGCGGAAUUCCUGGUGUAGCGGUGAAAUGCGUAGAUAUCAGGAGGAACACCGGCGGCGAAGGCGGCCUGCUGGACCGUAACUGACGUUGAGGCUCGAAAGCGUGGGGAGCAAACAGGAUUAGAUACCCCUGUAGUC
rnacentral:rRNA from 1 species